rnacentral:lncRNA from 1 species
CAUUUGUCUAAACAUCUAUUAUGUGUAUACCAGUCUGUCCGACCCCUGAAGAGUAAAAAGUAGACGUGAAACGUAUACUCUGCUCUCAAGAAUUUAAAAUCUUGUUGAGACAGAUGAACAAGGAAGAAGAAAAGAAAGUGGAAAAAUGAAUAAAACUUCAUUGCCCUCUUUCAUGUCUUACUUAUUUAUCUAAGUCUUGGGCUUCUCUGUUGAUAUAUUUGGUGAGACCAGGAGGUAAGAUACAAACCAUUGCUAUAUUCUGAGUAUAUAGUUGGGACUCAUAGAUGUGUUGACUGUGUUUGUGAUGAAUCUCAUUGGAUGGGUCACAGCAUUGCUGUGAGUGAGCUGUGGUGUAGGUUGCAGGUGAGGCUGAGAUCCUGCAUUGCUGUGGCUGUGCCAUAGGCUGGCAGCUGCAGCUUCAAUUCUACCCCUAGCCUGGGAACUUCCAUAUGCCACAGGUGUGGUCCUAAAAAUCAAAAUAAAACAAAACAAAAAAGGAACAUGUACCAUGAAGAUAGGAAAUAUUGCUUGUCUGGAUAUAUUUAUAAUAUUUACAACUUUGAAAGAUAAUCUUGAUCUAUAGUCAUGAUAUUCAAUAGGAAUAAACUCUAGCUCAAAUAUAUAUGUUCGUGUGAAAGUGGCAGAAUUUGAUACCCUUGUAAGCCCCAAUGUGCUUUUACAACUUCCCUGGAUGACUCUAUUGCAUUGGAAAAAACAAAAAAAGAACCAAAAAAACAUAGUACAUUUUAAAUAGCACUCACUGGAAAAGAGCACAGAAGGUGAUUUGAGUUUCCUUGGUGUGAUGACUACUCUUAUUCAAUUGUUUUCACAGACCAUAAACAAUACUGAAGAAUGUCUGUCUGAAACUCGGCCUUGAAUGAAGAAACUUCAUUGAACAAGAAGUUGGCUUCCAGUUUUGCACAGGCGUCAAUGGAAUGCUUUUCUUUUUUAUUUUAUUUUUUUAAUUUUCUACUUUACUCAAUGAAAAUGAAGUGUUUUUAUGUGCUGUGCAAAUGGUUCCUUCAUGUGGUUUGACAGGCUUUUUUUGCCAUCUUUUUUUUUUUUUCAACUAAAGAAAAAAGAUACCAGAAGAGGACAAAAACAAUAACAAACAAAGCAAAACAUGGAAGAUUGACAUUUAUCUGGAAGAACAUUUGAAUGCAGAAUUUACCUGAAGGUGUAGAUAGAUUUUUUUUUUUUAACAGAAAAUCUGAUGUCAAGAGGUAGGCAAGCAGAAAUGGAUAAAAAUUGUCUUCCUCAGUAAUUAAGCUACUCUUUCUUUUUCCUUUCUUGUUUAAAUCUAGUGGGUUGGGUUUUUUAUUUUAUUUUUUUCUUAGAAAUAUUUAGGUAAGGUUUAUCUUGAAUCUUAAUUGCCUUAAUUUUAAGGACGUCAAAGGCUCUCGAGGCAAGCUGUCAACGUCUUGUUAAAAAAAAAAAAAUCAAGAAAGAAUUGAAAUAUUGUGCCAGCUUUCACUGGUACAGAAGUUUAAGACUAUGAGUUUUUAGGGUGAAAAAAAACUGUACAGUUUAAAAGAAAAUGUUUUUCUUCAUUUGAAGAAAAUUUGUUGAUAAAAGAAACCAUGGCAACUGCAAGAAUUGGGGAAAUGCUGGGACUUUUCAUGAACUUUGUCUUAAGUGUUGAAUCAUUCUAGAAGGCUAAAACAUUUUACGGUAAAGUUAUUAAUGUUGGUUUAAAAACAACUGCAUUAGAAAUAAUGCGUGUUUGGGGGGCAGAAUGCAGAUUUUUUUUAUUUACAAAGCGUGAUCGCUAGCAAAAGCAUUAGUGCUUUUUAUCUGCAGUCUUUUUUAUGAGCUUUACAAAGUUUUUAGUCAGCUUUGCUUGUCACAUUGCAAAACCUAGCUUAAGAGCAUUAAACAAAAAACUUAGGUAGAUAGGAGCUUGUGGUCAAAAAGUGCAAAAAAAACCACAAAAAAAAAAACACAAAAAAAGCAAUAGAUAGAGAAAUUGUUGACAAUUUCUGUAGUCUUUCCUAGUUGUGAUCAAAUUCAGCCUAUGGAUGGCCUAUUUUAUACCAAAGAUGAAGUGGCACCCUAUUGCAGUCCAGAAGAUAGAGAUUGUUUUUCUUUUCUUCUUUUCUUUUUAAAAUUUUAUUUGACCUACAUGGCCGGACCAGUUCUUACUUUGUUGUUUGUUUAAACUACCUUCCACUGAUGUUUUACAUACU